UUGGAUGCUCUGCACCAAUUGGAGGCUGGAGCGGGCUUGGCGAGGAGCCCGGUUCCGCCCCCACUCUGGUCCUGCCCACUGCCAGUCAGCUUCGUUGCUAUGGGGACUGGCGGGCGAUUGGGAGGGGGGAAGCCCUGGAUAAUCCUUGGAGAUUCAACAUGGUGGCAGCAGUAACGGAGGUGACAGCGGCUCAAGAGAGCUGCUGAAGGAGGAGCUGAAGGAGACGCGAGGGCGCGGAGUUCCAGGCUGAGCAUCUAGGCCAUGAGCGACUGCGGCGCCAAGCCGGCCUGGUUGGUUUACACAACGCUGGACAGACCUGCUGCCUUAACUCCUUAAUUCAAGUGUUUGUAAUGAACGUGGACUUCACCAGGAUAUUGAAGAGGAUCAUGGUGCCCAAGGGAGCUGACAAGCAGAGGAGAAGAGUCCCUUUCCAGCUGCUUCUGCUGCAGGUGAAGAUGGAGGACAGCCGGCAGAAUGCAGUGCAGCCCCUGGAGCUGGCCUACUGCCUGCAGAAGUACAGCAUGCUGUAUUUGUCCAGCAUGAUACUGCCCAACUCUACCUCAAAAUCUGGAACCUGAUUAAGGACCAGAUCACUGAUGUGCACUUGAUGGGGAGGCUGCAGGCCCUAUAUGUGAUCUGGAUGAAGGACUCCUUGAUUUACCUUGACUGUGCCAUGGAGAGUAGGAGAAAGAGCAGCAUGCUGACCCUCCUACUUUCCCUUUUCAAUGUGGACUCAAAGCCCCUGAAGACAUUGGUAAGGAGAGUCUCUUGGUAUUUCCUGCUCCCAUAUGUGUUAGUCCAUUUUCUGUUGUGAGUAGGUAAUGUAUUUCUUACAGGUCUGGAGGGUGGGAAGCCAAGGUUGAGGGGCUGCACCUAAUGAGGGCCUGCUUGCUAGUGGGGACUCUGAGUCUCGAGGCAAGGCAGUGCAGAGCAUCACAUGGCAAGAGACAAGCAUGCUUAUGUGCCAGCUCAAGUCUCUUUUCCUCUUCCUGUGAAGCCACCUGUCCCAUUCCCAGGAAAACCCAUUAAUCUAUGAGUGGAUUAAUUCAUUCAUAUGGGCUGUGCCCUCAUGAUUUAAUCACCACCCCCCUUUCUCUGAAGACAGAAUCUUCCUCUGUCACCCAGGCUGGCGUGCAAUCAUGCGGUCUUGGCUCACUGCAAUCUCUAUCUCCCAUGUUCAAGCAAUUUUUCUGCCUUGGCCUCCUGAGUACCUGGGAUUACCAGUGCCACCACCACACCCUGCUAAGUUUUGUAUUUUUAGAAGGGAUGGGGUUUCCCCAUGAUAGGUGUCACCAUACCAACAUGAUAGGGUUUUAUCAUGUUGGCUAGACUGGUCUCAAACUCCUGACUUAAGUGAUCCACCUGCCUCGUGAUCCACCUCCCAAAGUGCUGGGGUUACAGGCAUGAGCCACCAUGCCCUCCCCAAUAAUCUCUAGAAGGUCCCACCUUUCAUACAGCCACACUGGGGAGUCAGUUUCAACCUUUUGGGGAGGACAAACACUCAAGCCACAUUACCACACAGCACAGUGUUGUCAGUUCCCCCUUGCCUCUUGGAUCUAGCCCUGGCUUCUGAGAAGUUUCUUAUUUCAUUUUCAUGAUUCUGGCUGAUUUCUCCUUUGUUUUGGCAAAAAUCUUUUUCCCUCCUACCUCUUUUUUCCUCAUACUGCUUCUGUAAGAGGAGCCCCCUCCUGUUUCAUUCCUCUAGUCAGUAGGUGACCUUUGAGAUCCUGCCAGUGGACCACACCAGGCCAGGCAUUAAGGGGGUAUGAAGAGAACCAGAAGAAAAGCUGAAACCCUCAGCUGCAAAGUGUGGGAAGGCUGUCCCUGAUAUACUGUUGGUCUGUGUCCCUGCCCAAAAAUCUCAUGUUCAGUUGUAAUCCCCAAUGUUGGCAGUAGGGUCUGGUGGGAGGAGAUGGGAUCAUGGGGGAGGGUUUCUCAUGAAUGGUUUUCCACCAUCCCCCAUGGUACUGUCUCUGUGACAGCGAGUGAUUUCUCAUGAGAUCUCGUUUUAAAGUAUGCAGCCAGGCAAAGUGUGCCAUAGUUCACCUGUAAUCCCAGUAAUUUGGAAGGCCAAAGCGAGUGGAUCACCUGAGGUCCGGAGUUCAAAACCAGCCUGGCCAACAUGAUAAAAUCCUAUCUCUACUAAAAAUACAAAAACUUAGCAUGAUGGUGCAGACUGUAAUCCCAGCUACUCAGAAGAUUGAGUCAGGAGAGUCACUUCAAACUGGGAGGUGGAGGUUGCAGUGAGCUGAGAUCAUGCCACUUCAUUCCAGCUCCCCACUUGCUCUCUUGCACCUGCCCCUUCUAUGUAAGAUGCCUGCUAUCAUUUGGCCUUCUGCCAUGAUUGGGAGCUCUCUGUGGCCUCCCCAGAAACAGAUGCCACCAUGCUUACUUUCAGCCUGCAGAACCAUGAGCCAAUGAAACCUCUUUUCUUAUAAAUUAUGCAGUCUCAGCUAUUUCCUGAUAGCGGUGUGAGAACAGAUGAAUACAGUACUCUAGGUGGGAAAUGCUGCCUUUUCCCUUUUCUCUUGGGUGGGGCAGGAGGAUGCCCUGCACUGAUUCUUCCAGCCCAGGGAGUUUUCAAGCAAAAGUAAGUGCUUCUGUGAGAACUGCAGGAAGAAGACUCAUGGGAAACAGGUACUCAUUUCCUAAACUGGACUCAGCUGUCUCUUGGUGCACACGGGAUUGGUUCUAGACCCCUGCAUUUACUAAAAUUCGCACAUACUCAAGUCCCCCAGUCAGCCCUGCAGAACCCACAUAUAGGAAAAGUCCAUUCCUCAUCUAUGCAGUUGUGCAUCUGGGAUACUGUAUUUUUAAUGAGUGUUUGGUUGCAGACAUGGAACUCAUGCUUAUGGGGGAGGGAAGACUGAAUUUAUUUAAAACAAUUUGUGUAUUAAGUGGACCCACACAGUCCAAACCUGUGCUGUUCAGGGAUCAACUGUUCUUCACUAGUCUGGGGUUUCCUUCUGUGGAUUUCCUGAUAGAAUCAUCAGAGGCCCCAAGGGGGCUUCGUGGUUGGUGAGAAAGGGAAUCUGGGUCUGGCUAGUAUCUGGGAUCCUGGAGUUCUGAUCUCUAGAGCCAUGGAUGUGGCUUCUUAGGUCACAUAACUGAGAGGGACCAGAGGAGAAGGCCUGAGAGCAGCCAGCAGGGCAUUUCCCUCAGGGUGAGAUGAGCUCCCUCGAGCAGAUGCCAUGGCUCCCUGGGUCCUGGUGCCUGUGCAGAGCCCUGUGCCCUUGUGCCUCUUGUGGGGACUUGGUGGUGGUAGAAUACCCACAUAUUGCAUCAUUCUCAGAGUAGCUUAGCAGAUUCAAUGAACGGGAGCCUUGAACUUUGUGAUGUCACCCUGCUUCCCUCUUUUUUCGGAAGAGGGUACCAUUAGUCUAGACAUUUCAUUUACUCCCAUUCCAAGUGGACUUUAUAUCCAGAGUGAUUUUGCUUUUUCAGGUCUUGAAGCUGACCCAUUUGCCUCAGACUCUGACAAACCACCUCAUGCCAUUCUCCAUCAGGAAUUCACAGGCAAGAAACUGCAUAUCUUUUGGUUUACAUGAAGACAGAGUGCUAAUGAAUGUGCCCGAAACCUUCAGAGAUGUACACACUAUCAUUUUCCACUUCCGUCCUAUAUCUAUGGAGUCUUCUAAGAGAUUUUGCAAUGAGGAGAAGCAUCAUUUUUUAACUAUAUAAUUGAGCCUUAUUUAUAAUCAGGGAUAUUAUCAAAAUAUUUAACACUGAAACUCUGCGGGACCUGAUCAGUCAGGAUGGAUGCUUUCACCAGUGGACUUGGCCAUGUGGCUUCUGGGUCUUGGGUGCUCCCGGCUGUGGUCAGCCCUCUAGUUAGGAGCCUGUGGGAGGUCCAGGCAUUCCAGGGAGGAGAGCAGUGGCAGUGGGGGGCAUCUGGAUGCUAAGGGUCAGUGGCAGUGGAUAUUUCAGUAUUUUACAACUGCUGUGCCCAGACUUGUGUGUACUGGCUGAAUAUCAGUGCUGUUGGUAAUUUCUCAGUUUUAGAACCAGUAUUAAUUCAUAUAAAACAAGCAUUUUGUAACUGUUAUUGUUUUAUUCAGCAAAUAUUUAUUGACAAUCUGUUCUUCCUAAGUGUGAUAGCACAAUAAUGAAUAAUUUUUUUUCCACAAAAGGAGUUUGCAAUUUAAUGGGGGAUAAGUAGGCCUUGUGCUGUAAGAAUUCAAAGGACAGGGAAGUCACUUCUGUUGUGGGGCCCUGGAAGGAGGCUCCAGGAUGGAAAGGCUUAGGGUAGAGACCCUAAUUGGGACAGUGUAAGGAAUGGACUGGCUGCAAAAGGCUGUGCUCAGCAUUCAGAAACCAUCCACACACCCAGCUCUUUUUCACCAGGAGUUGGGAAGGUUGGAGAUGGGAAGGCAGGUGGAGCUCAAUGUGGAGGGUAUCCAGCAAGGCUUGGAAACUUGCACCUGAUCUGGUGGGUGGCGAGAAACCCCUGAAGAGGCAUGAGGAGAGGAACACUCAGUUGUGUUUUGCUGACAUUGAUAUGCUGCUGGGGUUAGAGACAAACAUAGUGGGAAUGGAAAGCCAUCACAG